AACUUUUGGCAAUGGAUCUCUUGGCUCUCGCAUCGAUGAAGAACGCAGCGAAAUGCGAUAAGUAAUCCGAAUUGCAGAAUUCAGUGAAUCAUCGAAUCUUUGAACGCACCUUGCGCCCCUUGGCCAUUCCGAGGGGCAUGCCUGUUUGAGUAUCAUGAACACCUCAACUCUCAUGGCUUGCUGUGAUGAGCUUGGACUUUGGGGGUUUUGCUGGCCUGUGGUCAGCUCCUCUUAAACAAAUCAGCUUGCUAGUGUUUGGCAGCAUUGUGGGUGUGAUAACUAUCUACGCCCAUGGUUGUUUGCCAGGUAACCUUCAGCAGUGGAGGUUCACUGGAGCUUAUAAAUGUCUCUCCUCAGUGUGAGACAGCAUUUUGAACGUUCGAUCUCAGAUCAGGUAGGACUACCCGCUGAACUUAAGCAUAUCAAUAAGCGGAGGCU
rnacentral:misc_RNA from 1 species